AUGUUAAAUAAUUGAAUUUGAAAAUAAAUGAUUCAUGAUAAUAUGCCACUUAUAUUAUAGCGUUCUCAAUAUCAGCUAAAUUGGUCUAAUUGUCUAUAGAACACUAUCACAUUUACAUAGACGACGUUAUACUGCCUAUACAAAGAGGCCGGAAGUUUCCAUAUCUGACCACAACACAUGAGUGUAUGGGUGCAUCUCAUAUAUGGUAACGCUUGCUACAUGAUAAUGAGAACAGAAACACUUGAUGUGGUAAGAAAAAGAGAGCAACACUGUUCAGUUCAGUUGUGUUCACCACUAUAGGGAAGGAGAAGGACUCUUCUUUGUCUGUGAAAUGUUCUUAGAUGGUUUAAUGUCUCUAAAAGAUGUCUAAUCUCUAAUCCAACCAACCAAAAAUGGAUCAUCAGGUUUUUUUCACUCAACUGAGAUGUUGGACCAAAGUGUACUAACGUGAAGAGAUGAAAAGGCAGUAGCCCACAUUCUGGACUCAAGACACAGAAGAGUCUCAAGAAAAGAGAUUCCCGUCCAGUGUGUGGACAAUCCUUGUGGUUCUAAUGCUACGAUCGUCUAUGAUGACGUUACACACCUUUAUUCUCAACAUGACACCAUAGAUUGGACUGCUUCUGAAGAAGGACACGGCCCUCACAGUUCUGUGCAACCUUUCCAAUCUGCCCGUUAUCAGAAUGAGGACCCUGCCGCUCAGGAUCCUGAAGAGACGGACAGUACUUCAUCAUCCAGAUUCCCAUCCAGUGUUUGGACAAUCCUGAUUCUAAUCCUGUGCUACCAUUUCAUACCCAUUCUGAGAAUGCUACUCAGUUAUUCACCAUCCAGUCUUCAGGAGGAGGAAAAGGAGGAGGAUGACUAGAGGCCUCUACAGCCAUCAUCCAUGUCAAAUUAAGACUUCAGGAAGUUAAUGGUCACGGGCCAAGAGUCAGACACAAAACUGUAUUUUGUAAUGAGAAUUAGCAUUUUUACAAUUUGGUGUUUGUUAAACAAAACACAUAAUAUGUGAGCUUCAGAGGUGCUGGUAGCAUUUGUCUUGUUGUUUCCCUGUUUCCAUGUUACUGUAUGUUAAACUAAGAAUCUGAUAGCUAUGCAUUUAAGUUCACACGAUAGUGGCAUUAUUUAUUCUAAAGUGAAUAAGCAAAUUCCUAAAACUUUCCAAACUAUUUCUUUAAGCUUUAUUCUGAACUACACUAAAAGGUCAACAACAAUUGUUGUUGUCUUGCAUAAUGUUAGAAAAAUCCAACAUAGACACUAUGUACACCAAUAAAAAGUUGUGAAAAUGCUUCAAGCUCAAUAAAAAAUGGUGUUUGUCAUAUGGAUCAGACGAGCCUUUAUUUUACAGAGUGUGAACCACUCAAAUUAAAUAGAUACACAGUCACAAUUGAUUACUUACACUCAACAUUUCCAAUGGAUCAAAAUGUAUGUUCUGGUCUGUCAAAAUCAAGGGGUGAGGGUUAUCAAUAACACCACAUUUUACUGACCUUUAACUGCCUGUGCAAAAGUAUUUGCGGAAGUAUGUGUCAUUAUUCCAUCCCAGACAAUUCCCUCUCCUCUAUUCAGGG
rnacentral:lncRNA from 1 species